rnacentral:rRNA from 1 species
GCAACUCGCCUACAUGAAGUCGGAAUUGCUAGUAAUCNCGGAUCAGCAUGCCGCGGUGAAUACGUUCCCGGGCCUUGUACACACCGCCCGUCACACCAUGGGAGUCGGUAACACCCGAAGCCUGUGAGCUAACGUUAAGAGGCAGCAGUCGAAGGUAGAAUCAAUGAUUGGGGUGAAGUCGUAACAAGGUACC